AUCGCUUCUCUGCCUUUUGGCUAAGAUCAAGUGUAGUAUCUGUUCUUAUCAGUUUAAUAUCUGAUACGAGGGGCCCUGAGCAAGUUCCACCAGACUUACCUUGUGGGGAGUUGAAUAGCCAGAAGUCUGCUAACAGCUCCAAUUCAACAGACGGUAACAGCCAAAGAAUUCUGUCUGUCAUAACCCCCC